GUGAUCGCUUUGGCAGCACAUAUACUAAAACUGGAAAGAUACAGAGAAAAUUAGCAUGGCCCCUGUGCAAGGAUGACAUGCAAAUCUAUGAAGCGUGCCAUAUUUUU
rnacentral:snRNA from 1 species